UAAUACGAUGGGCUGUCUGGUGACGG
rnacentral:sRNA from 1 species